rnacentral:rRNA from 1 species
CCUACGGGAGGCAGCAGUGAGGAAUCUUGGUCAAUGGGCGGGAGCCUGAACCAGCCAAGUCGCGUGAAGGAAGAAGGUACUUAGUAUUGUAAACUUCUUUUGUCGGGGAACAAAGGCGGAGACGCGUCUCCGGAUGAGUGUACCCGACGAAAACGCAUCGGCUAACUCCGUGCCAGCAGCCGCGGUAAUACGGAGGAUGCGCGCGUUGUCCGGAUUUAUUGGGUUUAACGGGUGCGCAGUCGGGAGAUCAAGUCAGCGGUAAAAUGUCGGGGCUCAACCCCGGCCGGCCGUUGAAAAUGGUUGUCGAGAGUUGGAGAGAAGUAGGCGGAAUUCGUGGUGUAGCGGUGAAAUGCAUAGAUAUCACGAAGAACUCCGAUUGCGAAGGCAGCAUACCGGCUCCAUACUGACGCUGAGGAACGAAAGCGUGGGGAUCGAACAGGAUUAGAUACCCUUGUAGUC